rnacentral:lncRNA from 1 species
GCCGGUAGAUCCAAUAGUAAAUAAUCCUUGUUUGGUGCGUCCUCCAUGAAUCAAUCAAGGUGCUUUAAUCCUUAUGGCAGAAAGAAGUCCUCCCAGAGCAACCUAACUGGUACUGUAGCAAUUACUUGGUUCUUGCACAAAUGCGUCAGACAAUACAAACUGCACAAAAUUCUCUUCAAGAAUCAAGGAUAUAUCUACUAAAAAGCAAAUAAAUUAAGAUCCAAUACAAAAACUUCAAUGCUAGUACUUUACCCUGAUCAAUCCUUUCUUAUCACCAUGCUUUUUAUGCUUCCGCAGCCACAUGUAAUCUCCAUUGACAAUCAUCGCUCAUCGGCAUGAACUAGCACUUCUCUGUGCGCCAAUGCAUCCUCUGGUUGGUGCCAGCGCUCACCGGCCAACCUGCAACUGUUACCAGAUAGAUCAAUCAUAAGAACAUAAGCAUCAUAGACGAUAAUCGUCAACCCAUCUAUUUGCAAGUCCUAGCAUUUUGUACAACACCUAAAGAUAAAGGUACUAAAAUCAUUUAUUAUAUACACAAUAUUUAGAUAUAUAAACUAAAUUAUUAUAUCAGUCUCUUGAACCAAUCGAAAGGAAACAUGCAAAUUUCGGUUUACUUAAGAAGAAUGUAAAUUUUGUCAUACUAAAUGCUAAGAAAAAUGAUCCAAAUUCAGAGGUACAUCAAAUCACAAUUAUAGUAAUGAAAGAAAACACACAAAAGGCAUUUUUAUCUCUUCCCAAAAUAGGAUAAAAAAUUAAUGAACAAUUAGAAUUUUCAAUGGUUCAUAGAUGAAUACACUGUACCACAAAGAGUCUUAAAUUGUAUAUUGUGUUACCUAACUUAUUUAGAUUGGCAAAUAAUCCAAAAAAAUAACAAAAAAAUAUUAGUACAGAAAAAUGUAACAUAAAACAUGAAAUGUAAGAACCGAAUAGAGGAACAAACAUUUUGUGGCCACUGGAUUGUAAAAAGAAUGGACACUAAAGUUACUAUAAAUUUUUAACUUUUCUAUAAGGUGAGGUAGUAAUAAGCCAAAAAAAUAUGACAUCUCAUUUCUUUUGGUGCAUUCACCUCAAUUAUUUUCUUAUGCUUGUUUUUUGCAUAAAAUAUAAGGCAUGUGUGUAGUCAGAUGACUGAACUAUUGGACUCUAUGUGCAUCCUUUUUGUGAGCUUAUACGACUAAAAAUCAGGAAGAGAUUGCAAACAUGGAAAUCAUAGAAACUUACAUUUAGUUUUGUAUUUAGUUAUUAAUCGAUAUGAUUUUCCAUUUAUCCCACUACCAAGACCCGAGCUUGCAUUACUCAUUACUCAGUGCCCUGCAUAUUUUGUGAAAGGCUCUUAGUUGAGAUAUUCCAUGUCCAAAAAAUACAAUUUAUUUAAUGCGUUCAUAAUUCUGAAUCAGGUACAAAAAGAAGCAGACAAAUAUUACUUAUGUCUUAUAAGUUUGAUACAUGUAUGCCACCUAAUAAAUUUUCCCAAAAAGGAAAGCUGAGAGGUCCUAUGCAGCACCAUCAUGUGUUUCUUCUUUCUAUUUUAGAGACAACCUAAGAUUUCACUACUGAUAAGGAGAAUCUCCUUACUAAGGAAAUUACCAGGUCAUACCAUGGGCAUAAGAAUUGUUCUUCGGAAUUUCAUCACCAUAUUAAAAAAGUUUUGAAGGAGAGGUCUGUAAAAACAAUCAUCCAUUAAUGAGUGCGAGCACUACUAAGACAACUAUAGCACACAAUAACCAACAAUCUAUAUAGAAUCCGGUCACUUUGAAAAGUUAAAAUGAUUUAUAUAAUAUAUUAGAGAAUUGUGCCAGCUAGACCACUGAUCAUGAAGUAAAAUAUUUAGAGAAAUAUAUUUACAAAAGACAACUAUAAUUGGUACAAAAUUUGGAAGGGUAGUCACUGAAAAGAAAUUCCUUUCUAACUGAAUACAACACUGAUCAAAUUAUACCAUUGAUAGUAACUUGUGUAAGAUAAUAUUACGUACGACAAAAUCACUGGAUAGAGGACUCCCUCGGUAUUAAUGUAUUAAUCGUUGCUCAAGAACACAUAAUUGAAGUACUGUAACGAAUGGCCCAAAUGAAAUUUUAUAUAUGUCAGCAAAUACAAACUACAAAAGGGCAUGUUAUUUAAUACACCACAAAAUAAUUUGAGCAAAUUCGAUCGUAGCAGGUCUGAACAUGCAAGAUUAGCAUCACAAAUCAUAGCUUCUAUAACAUCAGAGUCCAUAGCAUCAGAGGCCGUACCUUUCGAAGUGUGUGAGUUUCUCAUUCCAGCACACAUACAUUGUCAUGUACCAGCUGUUUGUAGAGCUCAUCCCAAUGAGAAUUUGUAUCUUCUUUAGUUAUUAUGUCUCUUAACAGUUAGGAUAGCAUUAUAACUAAGUUGAUGAGUUGUUAGGUUUUUGGUUGGUGAUGUCUCUUGUUAGAUUUAACCUGGAAUAAAAAAAUUAUAAUCUAGAAGUUACUCAUCUGUUGGCUUUACUCAACAACUUUUUAAUUAGAAGGAGCUCCUAACAUAGAGCAUCUACAAACAUAAAUUAUAUUCCAUGGCAUAUGGAUUUGCUAUUAACGUAUUGAUUUGUAUCUAUAUGUUUACAACAAAUCAAAAUCAAAUGGAAGCAUCGUAC